rnacentral:rRNA from 1 species
GGGUUGUGAGGUUAAGCGACUAAGCGUACACGGUGGAUGCCCUGGCAGUCAGAGGCGAUGAAGGACGUGCUAAUCUGCGAUAAGCGUCGGUAAGGUGAUAUGAACCGUUAUAACCGGCGAUUUCCGAAUGGGGAAACCCAGUGUGUUUCGACACACUAUCAUUAACUGAAUCCAUAGGUUAAUGAGGCGAACCGGGGGAACUGAAACAUCUAAGUACCCCGAGGAAAAGAAAUCAACCGAGAUUCCCCCAGUAGCGGCGAGCGAACGGGGAGCAGCCCAGAGCCUGAAUCAGUGUGUGUGUUAGUGGAAGCGUCUGGAAAGGCGCGCGAUACAGGGUGACAGCCCCGUACACAAAAAUGCACAUGCUGUGAGCUCGAUGAGUAGGGCGGGACACGUGGUAUCCUGUCUGAAUAUGGGGGGACCAUCCUCCAAGGCUAAAUACUCCUGACUGACCGAUAGUGAACCAGUACCGUGAGGGAAAGGCGAAAAGAACCCCGGCGAGGGGAGUGAAAAAGAACCUGAAACCGUGUACGUACAAGCAGUGGGAGCACGCUUAGGCGUGUGACUGCGUACCUUUUGUAUAAUGGGUCAGCGACUUAUAUUCUGUAGCAAGGUUAACCGAAUAGGGGAGCCGAAGGGAAACCGAGUCUUAACUGGGCGUUAAGUUGCAGGGUAUAGACCCGAAACCCGGUGAUCUAGCCAUGGGCAGGUUGAAGGUUGGGUAACACUAACUGGAGGACCGAACCGACUAAUGUUGAAAAAUUAGCGGAUGACUUGUGGCUGGGGGUGAAAGGCCAAUCAAACCGGGAGAUAGCUGGUUCUCCCCGAAAGCUAUUUAGGUAGCGCCUCGUGAAUUCAUCUCCGGGGGUAGAGCACUGUUUCGGCAAGGGGGUCAUCCCGACUUACCAACCCGAUGCAAACUGCGAAUACCGGAGAAUGUUAUCACGGGAGACACACGGCGGGUGCUAACGUCCGUCGUGAAGAGGGAAACAACCCAGACCGCCAGCUAAGGUCCCAAAGUCAUGGUUAAGUGGGAAACGAUGUGGGAAGGCCCAGACAGCCAGGAUGUUGGCUUAGAAGCAGCCAUCAUUUAAAGAAAGCGUAAUAGCUCACUGGUCGAGUCGGCCUGCGCGGAAGAUGUAACGGGGCUAAACCAUGCACCGAAGCUGCGGCAGCGACGCUUAUGCGUUGUUGGGUAGGGGAGCGUUCUGUAAGCCUGCGAAGGUGUACUGUGAGGUAUGCUGGAGGUAUCAGAAGUGCGAAUGCUGACAUAAGUAACGAUAAAGCGGGUGAAAAGCCCGCUCGCCGGAAGACCAAGGGUUCCUGUCCAACGUUAAUCGGGGCAGGGUGAGUCGACCCCUAAGGCGAGGCCGAAAGGCGUAGUCGAUGGGAAACAGGUUAAUAUUCCUGUACUUGGUGUUACUGCGAAGGGGGGACGGAGAAGGCUAUGUUGGCCGGGCGACGGUUGUCCCGGUUUAAGCGUGUAGGCUGGUUUUCCAGGCAAAUCCGGAAAAUCAAGGCUGAGGCGUGAUGACGAGGCACUACGGUGCUGAAGCAACAAAUGCCCUGCUUCCAGGAAAAGCCUCUAAGCAUCAGGUAACAUCAAAUCGUACCCCAAACCGACACAGGUGGUCAGGUAGAGAAUACCAAGGCGCUUGAGAGAACUCGGGUGAAGGAACUAGGCAAAAUGGUGCCGUAACUUCGGGAGAAGGCACGCUGAUAUGUAGGUGAAGUCCCUCGCGGAUGGAGCUGAAAUCAGUCGAAGAUACCAGCUGGCUGCAACUGUUUAUUAAAAACACAGCACUGUGCAAACACGAAAGUGGACGUAUACGGUGUGACGCCUGCCCGGUGCCGGAAGGUUAAUUGAUGGGGUCAGCGCAAGCGAAGCUCUUGAUCGAAGCCCCGGUAAACGGCGGCCGUAACUAUAACGGUCCUAAGGUAGCGAAAUUCCUUGUCGGGUAAGUUCCGACCUGCACGAAUGGCGUAAUGAUGGCCAGGCUGUCUCCACCCGAGACUCAGUGAAAUUGAACUCGCUGUGAAGAUGCAGUGUACCCGCGGCAAGACGGAAAGACCCCGUGAACCUUUACUAUAGCUUGACACUGAACAUUGAGCCUUGAUGUGUAGGAUAGGUGGGAGGCUUUGAAGUGUGGACGCCAGUCUGCAUGGAGCCGACCUUGAAAUACCACCCUUUAAUGUUUGAUGUUCUAACGUUGACCCGUGAUCCGGGUUGCGGACAGUGUCUGGUGGGUAGUUUGACUGGGGCGGUCUCCUCCUAAAGAGUAACGGAGGAGCACGAAGGUUGGCUAAUCCUGGUCGGACAUCAGGAGGUUAGUGCAAUGGCAUAAGCCAGCUUGACUGCGAGCGUGACGGCGCGAGCAGGUGCGAAAGCAGGUCAUAGUGAUCCGGUGGUUCUGAAUGGAAGGGCCAUCGCUCAACGGAUAAAAGGUACUCCGGGGAUAACAGGCUGAUACCGCCCAAGAGUUCAUAUCGACGGCGGUGUUUGGCACCUCGAUGUCGGCUCAUCACAUCCUGGGGCUGAAGUAGGUCCCAAGGGUAUGGCUGUUCGCCAUUUAAAGUGGUACGCGAGCUGGGUUUAGAACGUCGUGAGACAGUUCGGUCCCUAUCUGCCGUGGGCGCUGGAGAACUGAGGGGGGCUGCUCCUAGUACGAGAGGACCGGAGUGGACGCAUCACUGGUGUUCGGGUUGUCAUGCCAAUGGCACUGCCCGGUAGCUAAAUGCGGAAGAGAUAAGUGCUGAAAGCAUCUAAGCACGAAACUUGCCCCGAGAUGAGUUCUCCCUGACUCCUUGAGAGUCCUGAAGGAACGUUGAAGACGACGACGUUGAUAGGCCGGGUGUGUAAGCGCAGCGAUGCGUUGAGCUAACCGGUACUAAUGAACCGUGAGGCUUAACCUUACAACGCCGAAG